rnacentral:rRNA from 1 species
UACGAAGGGGGCUAGCGUUGUUCGGAAUUACUGGGCGUAAAGCGCGUGUAGGCGGGUCUUUAAGUCAGGGGUGAAAUGCCAAGGCUCAGCCUUGGAACUGCCUUUGAUACUGAGGAUCUUGAGUUCGGGAGAGGUGAGUGGAACUGCGAGUGUAGAGGUGAAAUUCGUAGAUAUUCGCAAGAACACCAGUGGCGAAGGCGGCUCACUGGCCCGAUACUGACGCUGAGGCACGAAAGCGUGGGGAGCAAACAGG